UGCACAUAUACACAAAAUGUUCUGCAAAUGAAGAAUUCUGUGAUUUGACCAGUUCUGUUUGAGCUGCAUCGUGGGGGCAGAAACAUCCUUAGAGUCUCACGUUGAAUUCUGUGGAGAGUUCCCUAAAUAUACAUGUACUGGCUAUGUCAAUACUC
rnacentral:lncRNA from 1 species